UUCCUGGUGGUCCAGUGGUUAAGACUCUGCACUCCCGAUGCAGGGCACUUGGGUUCCAUCCCUGGUCAGGAAA
rnacentral:tRNA from 1 species